GGAAGCGUGCCCGAAAGAUAAGGACCUCCUUGA
rnacentral:tRNA from 1 species